rnacentral:rRNA from 1 species
AACGAACGCUGGCGGCAUGCCUAACACAUGCAAGUCGAACGAAGGCUUCGGCCUUAGUGGCGCACGGGUGCGUAACGCGUGGGAACCUGCCCCUUGGUUCGGAAUAACACAGAGAAAUUUGUGCUAAUACCGGAUAAUGACUUCGGUCCAAAGAUUUAUCGCCGAGGGAUGGGCCCGCGUAGGAUUAGCUUGUUGGUGAGGUAACGGCUCACCAAGGCGACGAUCCUUAGCUGGUCUGAGAGGAUGAUCAGCCACACUGGGACUGAGACACGGCCCAGACUCCUACGGGAGGCAGCAGUGGGGAAUAUUGGACAAUGGGCGAAAGCCUGAUCCAGCAAUGCCGCGUGAGUGAUGAAGGCCUUAGGGUUGUAAAGCUCUUUUACCCGGGAUGAUAAUGACAGUACCGGGAGAAUAAGCUCCGGCUAACUCCGUGCCAGCCGCCGCAGUAA